GACGAACGCUGGCGGCGUGCCUAAUACAUGCAGGUCGAGCGGACUGAUUAAGAGCUUGCUCUUAUGACGUUAGCGGCGGACGGGUGAGUAACACGUGGGCAGCCUGCCCUGUAGAUCGGGAUAACACCGAGAAAUCGGUGCUAAUACCGGGUAAUAUCUGAGAUCACAUGAUCUUAGGUUAAAAGAUGGCUCCGGCUAUCACUACAGGAUGGGCCCGCGGCGCAUUAGCUAGUUGGUAAGGUAAUGGCUUACCAAGGCGACGAUGCGUAGCCGACCUGAGAGGGUGAUCGGCCACACUGGGACUGAGACACGGCCCAGACUCCUACGGGAGGCAGCAGUAGGGAAUCUUCCGCAAUGGACGAAAGUCUGACGGAGCAACGCCGCGUGAGUGAUGAAGGGUUUCGGCUCGUAAAGCUCUGUUGUUAGGGAAGAAACAGUACCGAACGAACUAGGUCGGUACCUUGACGGUACCUAACCAGAAAGCCACGGCUAACUACGUG
rnacentral:rRNA from 1 species